UGCAAAAUCAACCCGAAUUCUCAACUGUCUAAGAAAAAAAAAUUUGCAAAAGCUUGCUCUUUUUCACGCCCUAGCUCAUUUUCUUCUCUCUGUUCCUCACUCACUCGCAUUUAUUCACCAUGACCAAGCAAGAAGCUAAUUGGUCUCCAUACGAUAACAACGGAGGAUCAUGUGUUGCAAUUGCUGGAGCAGAUUACUGCGUCAUCACCGCGGAUACGAGAUACGAGGAUGUCCACCGCUUACAAUAUCCUCACUCGCGAUUACUCCAAAAUCUCCCAAUUGUCAGCUUCAAUGUUGAAACAAUUAUUGCAUCAUACUAGAUGUCCAACAAUUAUAAGGAACCCGCAAAUUCGAAUUGUUGUUUGGGGACAAGGAACCCCAACCACUCUGAAGUUUGUCACAUGCACUUCAUCUCUUCUUUUGGUGCUGCACUGCAACACACAUGCAUUGUGAAUUCAGUAACCUAUCUUAAAAUUGGCAUUUCCAUCUUGUUAGACAUUUUUCUAUUUCUUGGGUUUCCAAACUCCAAUAUUUGUUUUGACUCUACUAUUAUAGUUAGUCUACGUUCCGUUCAUAAAGACAUAACUAGCAACAAGUUGUUGGAAUACAUUAUCAUGGUAUGGUUCGAAG